GAUGAACGCUGGCGGCGUGCCUAAUACAUGCAAGUCGAGCGAACAGACGAGGAGCUUGCUCCUCUGACGUUAGCGGCGGACGGGUGAGUAACACGUGGAUAACCUACCUAUAAGACUGGGAUAACUUCGGGAAACCGGAGCUAAUACCGGAUAAUAUAUUGAACCGCAUGGUUCAAUAGUGAAAGACGGUUUUGCUGUCACUUAUAGAUGGAUCCGCGCCGGAUUAGCUAGUUGGUAAGGUAACGGCUUACCAAGGCAACGAUGCGUAGCCGACCUGAGAGGAUGAUCGGCCACACUGGAACUGAGACACGGUCCAGACUCCUACGGGAGGCAGCAGUAGGGAAUCUUCCGCAAUGGGCGAAAGCCUGACGGAGCAACGCCGCGUGAGUGAUGAAGGUCUUCGGAUCGUAAAGCUCUGUUAUUAGGGAAGAACAAAUGUGUAAGUAACUAUGCACGUCUUGACGGUACCUAAUCAGAAAGCCACGGCUAACUACGUG
rnacentral:rRNA from 1 species